rnacentral:rRNA from 1 species
GUUUUCGGUCGUGCUAUAUGGUGUAGGUUGGCCUUUUUCCACCCCGUCUCUCCUUCGUCUACUUGUUCUCUCGGUCGUGCUUAUGCUCCCUCUUCCUCCUUCCACAUCCCGAUCUAAUCCCAUCGCCCCAACGCUCUCCCCUUCCCCUCCAUGGUGAGCCGCCUCUCUUCCCAGCUAGUUGCGCCGCCCAAACCCUCUCCGACCUCCAUGGCGGUCUCCCUCUGUCUUAUGCUGCACAAAUACCAGCAAGAUCUGGGUCGACAGGACACAGGCGAUAUCGUCAUCAACCGCCGCCCCUGGUGCCUCGUGCGUGCUGAGGGGCAUCUACUUCGGAUCUGGCCGCGAAGCGGGAACGGUCCAUCGGACUGGGCGGUGAUUGCAAGCUCUGCCUCUAUUCUUCACAGUAGGUUCUGAAUUUGAAUCGGAAUAAACCUGGCCGAAGUUGCAAUCUGCACUAUGGAGCCCUCUCCGCAAGGAACUUUUAUCGACGCGGCUCUGAAACUAGUACUUGACAUGGUAGAAGCAUGGUUUAUUCGGCCUAGAGUAAUACAGUACAUAUACUGUAAUUUCCAGGAUCAUUACGGGCUGUGGCGAGCCGUCUGCUCUUCCUACAGAGUUAGUGUCCAUUUGCGCUGUACUAUACUAUUCGUUAGUGAUCAUGAUCACCUUACUUGGUGUUCUCGAUCGAGCCGCAUAGAUGGUGACUAUGUUGUUGUUGCUGAUGGUUUGAGAGAAACUGAAUUGAAAAGAUUCCUGGACGUAUAAUCUGUCAGGUUUCAUCUGUAAUUUGGAUUCAAGUUUCAGAUGUCUUAGAUAUAAUGUAUCUUCAUCAUUUUCUCUAGCUUGCUACUAUGCCAAGCCACGAUCUCUCUCCUCUGCUGUGGUGUAAGUGGUGCGGGGAGACCCACGCGCGUUCGAGGGAGAGCUAGCCCGUAAGGUGCCUUUUGGCCUACCUCUUGUUGUCCUCACCUGGUUCAAGUGCUGGGAUUUGAAAAGCUAGAGAUGCACUUUUUCCUGGGAGUCUGACAUGGAUUUUAUUGCAAGCAAUGGCCCCUGGAGAUUCCGUCAUGCAUUGUUUAACAAGCUCAGUCAUUGUGUCAAUUAAAACUGAAAAGGACGUGUCAAAACUUAUCAAAAGGAAACAAUUUGUUGUCUCUUGGCUUUUUGGUUGCAAAUGCACUUUUUUAGAGAACAAAUGCACUAUUAUUGAGAUAGAGAAUGCACGUCAACUACACAACAAAUUAUCAUGGUGUUCAAUUUUCCAAUCUUCCACUUAAUUUUGUUUCUAUCAUUUAGUUUGCUUUCUCUUUUCCAAUCUUUCACGUAAUUUUGUUGUCCAACAGAUGGGCCGUGAGUUUGGAAUUAGGCGGCCACGGCGCGUAGUCUGCCACGGCGGUACGUCGGCAUCCCAUUACCUGCAGGACCAUGGCCCCAUGGCGUCGGCGUCAUUGACCACAGCAAUGCCGACGCCACCCAGGACGUGUACUGGACUGAGGCUCUGUGAUACGAGUAGAUCAUCCAAGAGGGUUAGCAUGUGCACAUCAGUGAUCAUCCAAGGAGUACUACUAUUAUGUUUUAGGUUGUUGUUGCUGCUUUAAUCAACUAUGAACUGCCACUUUGAGUUGUGAUAUUUCUGGCCUGAUCUCCAUCCAGGACCAGGAGAAUAGCUCAACCAGUGAGCAUGUGCUCAGAUUGUCUGGGUACAACAAUUGCUUGAAUCAAGUGGGAGUUAAUCUUCCAGAUAAGAUAGUAAUUGACAGAAUUCUCUAGUCACUAUCACCAAGUUACUAGAACUUCGUGAUGAACUAUAAUAUGCAAGGGAUGAUGAAAGUAAUUCCCGAGCUCUUCGCGAUGCUAAAAUCGACGAAGAUAGAAAUCAAGAAAGAGCAUCAAGUGUUGAUGGUUAACAAGACCACUAGUUUCAAGUAAAGGGACAAGGGGAAGAAAGGGGAACUUCAAGAAGAACGGCAAGCAAGUUGCUGCUUAAGUGAAAAAGCCCAAGUCUAGACCUAAGCCUGAAACUGAGUGCUUCUACUGCAAAGGGACUGGUCACUGGAAGCGGAACUGCCCAAAGUAUUUGGUGGAUAAGAAGGAUGGCAAAGUGAACAAAGCUAUAUUUGAUAUACAUGUUAUUGAUGUGUACUUUACUAGUGUUUAUAGCAACCCCUCGGUAUUUGAUACUGGUUCAGUUGCUAAGAGUAGUAACUUGAAACGGGAGUUGCAGAAUGAAUAGAGACUAGUUAAGGGUGAAGUGACGAUGUGUAUUGGAAGUGGUUCCAAGAUUGAUAUGAUCAUCAUCGCACACUCCCUAUACUUUCGGAAUUAGUGUUGAACCUAAAAUAAAUGUUAUUUAGUGUUUGCGUUGAGCAUGAAUAUGAUUGGAUCAUGUUUAUUGCAAUAUGGUUAUUCAUGUAAGUUAGAGAAUAAUUGUUGUUCUGUUUACAUGAAUAAAACCUUCUAUGGUCACACACCCAAUGAAAAUGGUGUGUUGGAUCUCGAUCGUGGUGAUAC